AGCGACUAAGCGUACACGGUGGAUGCCCUGGCAGUCAGAGGCGAUGAAGGGCGUGCUAAUCUGCGAUAAGCGCCGGUAAGGUGAUAUGAACCGUUAUAACCGGCGAUACCCGAAUGGGGAAACCCAGUGUGACUCGUCACACUAUCAUUAACUGAAUCCAUAGGUUAAUGAGGCGAACCGGGGGAACUGAAACAUCUAAGUACCCCGAGGAAAAGAAAUCAACCGAGAUUCCCCCAGUAGCGGCGAGCGAACGGGGAGGAGCCCAGAGCCUGAAUCAGCAUGUGUGUUAGUGGAAGCGUCUGGAAAGGCGCGCGAUACAGGGUGACAGCCCCGUACACAAAAGCGCAUGUGCUGUGAGCUCGAUGAGUAGGGCGGGACACGUGGUAUCCUGUCUGAAUAUGGGGGGACCAUCCUCCAAGGCUAAAUACUCCUGACUGACCGAUAGUGAACCAGUACCGUGAGGGAAAGGCGAAAAGAACCCCGGCGAGGGGAGUGAAAAAGAACCUGAAACCGUGUACGUACAAGCAGUGGGAGCACCCUUUGGGUGUGACUGCGUACCUUUUGUAUAAUGGGUCAGCGACUUAUAUUCUGUAGCAAGGUUAACCGAAUAGGGGAGCCGGAGGGAAACCGAGUCUUAACCGGGCGUUAAGUUGCAGGGUAUAGACCCGAAACCCGGUGAUCUAGCCAUGGGCAGGUUGAAGGUUGGGUAACACUAACUGGAGGACCGAACCGACUAAUGUUGAAAAAUUAGCGGAUGACCUGUGGCUGGGGGUGAAAGGCCAAUCAAACCGGGAGAUAGCUGGUUCUCCCCGAAAGCUAUUUAGGUAGCGCCUCGUGAAUUCAUCUCCGGGGGUAGAGCACUGUUUCGGCUAGGGGGCCAUCCCGGCUUACCAACCCGAUGCAAACUGCGAAUACCGGAGAAUGUUAUCACGGGAGACACACGGCGGGUGCUAACGUCCGUCGUGAAGAGGGAAACAACCCAGACCGCCAGCUAAGGUCCCAAAGUCAUGGUUAAGUGGGAAACGAUGUGGGAAGGCCCAGACAGCCAGGAUGUUGGCUUAGAAGCAGCCAUCAUUUAAAGAAAGCGUAAUAGCUCACUGGUCGAGUCGGCCUGCGCGGAAGAUGUAACGGGGCUAAACCAUGCACCGAAGCUGCGGCAGCGACACUGUGUGUUGUUGGGUA
rnacentral:rRNA from 1 species